rnacentral:rRNA from 1 species
UACGUAGGGACCGAGCGUUGUCCGGAUUCAUUGGGCGUAAAGAGCUCGUAGGCGGCUGUUCAAGUCGAACGUGAAAACUCGGAGCUCAACUCCGAGCCUGCGUUCGAUACUGGACGGCUAGAGUCUGGUAGGGGGAUCUGGAAUUCCUGGUGUAGCGGUGGAAUGCGCAGAUAUCAAGAGGAAUACCUGAGGUGAAGACGGGUUGCUAGGCCGACACUGACGCUGAAGCGCGAAAGCCAGGGGAGCAAACGGG